AUCCAGUUGUUUCGGGGUCACAUCGAGGCGAACGGCUGGGGUGCGUUCAGAAAUAACACUCGAGUGCACCCAGCGAUCGUCUUCCCCUUAAUUGUUGUUCUGUGGUCUCCUGGGAGAGCUGCGAGGGAAAAGAUUGGAGAACGUGUAAAAGGAGGGAAGAUUUAAGAAUCUCCAGGAGGAGGAACGUGAGAGAGAAAUUUCGUGUGCGCGAGUGUCAGGAACGAGAGUGGAGGAUAAAUAAAUGAGAUAGAUAAGAAGAAAAGUGAUCGAUGGUUUAUGGUGGUGGUGAUGAUACGCGAAGUGCACCUGAUCGAUGCACCCGUGCGAACGCAGCACCACGACGCCGCCGUCGCCGUCGCUCGCCGCCUCGGGCUGCUCCUCUACGGCUGGCUGUGUUAAUGGUGGAAUUCCGCUCGAGAGGAAUCUGAAGGCGGGGACUCUGACGUCACUCCGCUCAUGAUAAUGAGGUAUUCAUGAUGGCGGAGUAGUGCGCGCGAGCGGGAAAGAGAGAAACAGCAAAAAGAAA